rnacentral:rRNA from 1 species
UACGUAGGGGGCAAGCGUUGUCCGGAUUUAUUGGGCGUAAAGAGCUCGUAGGCGGUUUGUCGCGUCGGCCGUGAAAACUUGGGGCUUAACUCCAAGCUUGCGGUCGAUACGGGCAGACUUGAGUUCGGCAGGGGAGACUGGAAUUCCUGGUGUAGCGGUGAAAUGCGCAGAUAUCAGGAGGAACACCGGUGGCGAAGGCGGGUCUCUGGGCCGAUACUGACGCUGAGGAGCGAAAGCGUGGGGAGCGAACAGG